UGAGGAAUAUUGGUCAAUGGACGAGAGUCUGAACCAGCCAAGUCGCGUGAAGGAAGACGGAUCUAUGGUUUGUAAACUUCUUUAGUGUGGGAACAAAGCGUGGUUGCGACCGCAGAUGAGUGUACCACAAGAAUAAGCAUCGGCUAACUCCGUGCCAGCAGCCGCGGUAAUACGGAGGAUGCGAGCGUUAUCCGGAUUUAUUGGGUUUAAAGGGUGCGUAGGCGGACUUUCAAGUCAGCGGUAAAAUUUCCGGGCUUAACCUGGUUGUGCCGUUGAAACUGAGAGACUGGAGUGCGCUUGAGGUAGGCGGAAUGCGUUGUGUAGCGGUGAAAUGCAUAGAUAUGCCACAGAACACCGAUAGCGAAGGCAGCUGCCGGGCCUGCAUUGACGCUGAGGCACGAAAGCGUGGGGAUCGAACAGGAUUAGAUACCCUGGUAGU
rnacentral:rRNA from 1 species